GGGCCCAUGGUCUAGUGGCUAUGACACCGCCCUUACAAGGCGUAGAUCCCCGGUUCGAAUCCGGGUGGGCCCA
rnacentral:tRNA from 1 species